rnacentral:rRNA from 1 species
AGGCCUUCGGGUUGUAAAGCUCUUUUGUCAGGGAAGAAACGGUGGACUCUAAUACAGAUCACUAAUGACGGUACCUGAAGAAUAAGCACCGGCUAACUACGUGCCAGCAGCCGCGGUAAUACGUAGGGUGCAAGCGUUAAUCGGAAUUACUGGGCGUAAAGCGUGCGCAGGCGGUUUGGUAAGACAGAUGUGAAAUCCCUGGGCUCAACCUAGGAAUUGCAUUUGUGACUGCCCGGCUAGAGUGUGUCAGAGGGGGGUAGAAUUCCACGUGUAGCAGUGAAAUGCGUAGAGAUGUGGAGGAAUACCGAUGGCGAAGGCAGCCCCCUGGGAUAACACUGACGCUCAUGCACGAAAGCGUGGGGAGCAAACAGGAUUAGAUACCCUGGUAGUCCACGCCCUAAACGAUGUCUACUAGUUGUUGGGUCUUAAUUGACUUAGUAACGCAGCU